rnacentral:rRNA from 1 species
AAUUUUCCGCAAUGGGCGCAAGCCUGUCGGAGCAAUACCGCGUGAGGGAAGAAUGCCUGUGGGUUAUAAACCUCUUUUGUUAGGGAAGAAUUAUGACGGUACUUAACGAAUAAGCAUAGGGUCACUCCGAACCAGCAGCCGCGGUAAUACGGGGGAUGCAAGCGUUAUCCGGAAUCACUGGGCGUAAAGCGUCUGUAGGUGGCUUAGUAAGUAUGCUGUUAAAUAUUAGAGCUUAACUUUAAAUCAGCAGUGGAAACUAUUAAAUUAGAGUAUGGUAUGGGCAAAGGGAAUUCCCAGUGUAGCGGUGAAAUGUGUAGAUAUUGGGAAGAACACCAGUAGCGAAAGCGCUUUGCUUGGCCUUAACUGACACUCAGAGACGAAAGUUAAGGUAGGGAAUGGGAUUAGAUACCCCAGUAGUCUUAGCGGUA